UCUGUCGAUCGAAAUAGAAAUAUUUUUAUUUUUUAUAUUCAAAACAAAAAACUUUCUUGUACGUCUAACGACUUUAUACGGUCCUUCAUAUGGAGCUGCAAGACCGGUCUUGACUCUAUCCACUCUGACGAAAGCUGAAUCACAGUCUUGUAAGGUUGCUGGUAUGAAAACUGACUUACUCAAUUUUCGUGUGUCUGUGGGAAUUAAAUUUUGCAUUGUGGAAGCUUUAAACAUUGACCGUACACCAACUCUGCAGGUGAGCAUUUCAAGUCUUCUUUGAUUGCUGCACGAAUUCCAAGCAAGAUUAUUGGUACCUCUGAACUCCAGUUUGUCGUGUUGCCUCUUGCUUUUAAGGAAGCUUUUAAUUGCCUAUGAAAACGUUCCACCAUUCCAUUUGCUUGCGGAUGGUAAGGAGUGGUGUGGAUUCGGUGUGAGCCAAGUAUUCUUGCAAGUUCGCUAAAGAGCUUGGAUUCGAACUGGGUUCCUUGGUCCGUUGUAAUCCUAAAAGGAACUCCGAAUCUACAAACAUAGUUUUCUAUGAACACUUUUGCCACCAUCACUGCAGAAAUGUUUUUCAAGGGAAAUGCCUCCGGCCACCUUGUGAAACGAUCUAUUACCGUCAGGAGGUAAGAGAAACCGUUUGAUUCUGGAAGGGGACCUACCAAGUCUAAAUGGAUAUGCUCGAAGCGUUCGUUAGGAAGAUUAAAUUUACCGAUAGCGGAUUUUGUGUGUCUAUGGACUUUGGACUUUUGACAUGCCAGACAUGUUUUUGCCCAAUGGGAUAUGUCUUUGUUCAUCGUUGGCCAAAAAUAACGCUUGGUAAUUAGUUUCCUCGAAGUUCGUAUGCUUGGGUGUGAGAGGUUAUGCAAAGAAUCGAAAACUUUCCUACGAGCAGAAUGGGGUACAAAGGGUCUAUUGCUUCCCGUGGAGAUAUCGCAAUAUAUUUCAAAGUCAGUCUGUUCAACUCUGUGUCGGAAGAUUGAAGUUGAGCCAAUGCCUUGCAGUCAAGGUGAAGCGUAUCCGAUGAAGAGAUUUCUUGCUCGUCCAUUCGGGAUAAAGAGUCUGCGACUACAUUAUCUGGACCUCUGACAUACUCUAUGUUGAUAGUGAAUUGGGAGAUGUAGUCAAGCUGUCGAUUUUGUCGUGGAUUUCUCUCUGUCUUUGAUUCUAUGGCGUAUGCCAGGGGUUUGUGAUCUGUGAACACUUUAAAUUCCUGCCCUUCAAUGAAGUAUCUAAAAUGCUUAAUGGAUAAAUAAAUUGCAAGAAGUUCACGGUCAAAGGUGGAAUAUUUUGUUUCUCUUGGUA